UACGUAGGGUGCGAGCGUUAAUCGGAAUUACUGGGCGUAAAGGGUGCGCAGGCGGUCCCGCAAGUCAGGCGUGAAAUCCCCGAGCUUAACUUGGGAAUUGCACUUGAAACUAUGGGACUCGAGUGUGGCAGAGGGAGGUGGAAUUCCACGUGUAGCGGUGAAAUGCGUAGAUAUGUGGAGGAACACCGAUGGCGAAGGCAGCCUCCUGGGCCAACACUGACGCUCAUGCACGAAAGCGUGGGGAGCAAACAGG
rnacentral:rRNA from 1 species